GGAACGGGCUGGAAUGUAAAAAUCUGCCUUCAGUGGAAACUAUACCAGAAACAACAUGCGGACCACUUCUUAUCAUCGGCGUUUCAGAAUCGUGGCUGACAGAUGGCGUGCAUAAAUCCCAUCCUUUUUUUCAAAGACAAUCAAUGUAGAAGCCCAGCUAACACAAAGUGGAGAUGAGCCAGAAGGGUCUGGAAAGGAUAAAGGAGCUCCUGGAGCAUGUCAGAUACACCAGCGUCAUGCUGGACAGCUCAGAGAGACAUGGAUAAACACCACAAAAGAGUUCCAUGCCUAGAUCAACUAAAUCUCAACUCUGAGCUCCAUCCAAGGCACCUCAUACUGUUCUCCAUACUGGCUGCACCAAUUUAUAGAGGGUAGAAUCAUUUCUAAGCACAGAGCAUGGACAACCACCCAGAGACCACGCAUGGAUAAACACAAGGGCUCACGGAACAUGCCACGGCUCUACGCAGCCCCACCGCAGGCAGAGGCGUUGCUGGAGCACGCGGGAACGCUUCUGUGUUUUCUGGGGGAAAUUCCUCUCCUGAGCAGCAUCCAGAUUGGCGAAAACAUCUCCC